rnacentral:rRNA from 1 species
AUAUUUGAGAGUUUGAUCCUGGCUCAGGAUGAACGCUGGCGGCGUGCCUAACACAUGCAAGUCGAGCGAUCUCUUCGGAGAGAGCGGCGGACGGGUGAGUAACGCGUGGGUAACCUGCCCUGUACACACGGAUAACAUACCGAAAGGUAUACURAUACGGGAUAAYAUACGAAAGUCGCAUGGCUUUUGUAUCAAAGCUCCGGCGGUACAGGAUGGACCCGCGUCUGAUUAGCUAGUUGGUAAGGUAAUGGCUUACCAAGGCAACGAUCAGUAGCCGACCUGAGAGGGUGAUCGGCCACACUGGAACUGAGACACGGUCCAGACUCCUACGGGAGGCAGCAGUGGGGAAUAUUGCACAAUGGGCGAAAGCCUGAUGCAGCAACGCCGCGUGAGCGAUGAAGGCCUUCGGGUCGUAAAGCUCUGUCCUCAAGGAAGAUAAUGACGGUACUUGAGGAGGAAGCCCCG